rnacentral:tRNA from 1 species
GAGGAUAUAGCUCAGUGGUAGAGCAUAUGCUUAGCAUGCACAAGGUCCUGGUUCAAUCCCCAGUGCCUCCA